UCUAGAUCUAUAUCUCUAACAGCAUGGAGUUUUAAGAUUUUUUGAAAAUUAUUUUUUUUUGCUAGCCUUUAAAAUGGAACAUAUUUAGGCUUAUGUGUAGGCUUUAAUAGAAUAAGAUUCUAAUGGGAAUAUUAAUGUUUAUAUGGAUAUAAACAAUGAUUGGGAGAGGAAGCAGCAGCUCAAACUUCAAAAUUUUUGAGUCUUUCAAAUUUGCUGUUGUCACGUUCUCCACUGUUGGCUAUGGAGAUGUUUCCUCUGACAUUUGGCUGGGCCGACUCUUAAUGAUUCUAACCAUUGCCCUGGCAUUUGUUUUUAUAUCUAGCCAGAAUAGAGAUGUAAUUCUGCUGUGUCCCCAUGAGUUGGAAACCAGAAUGCAAGUCUUCUAAUAGAGGUCUGAUAGAGUCAUGUACAUCAAGGGAUCAGCACUAAAAGAUGUGGACCUGAUGUGGUGUCAAGCUGAUGAAGCUUUUGCUUGCUUCUUUUGGCUGUUCGUUUAACACAAGACAAAGUACAGACUAAACAGCAACCCAAGUUGAAACAUUGGACAGAUCUAUCUGCAUUAGACUUGGGCUGUUAAUCAACAGUUUCAUUGAGCUGACACACUAUGCAGUGACUACCAGCCCAUGUAUACAUGCCAUGUUAAAGACUGUGACAAAACUCUUCAAUGUUCUCACUUCACUUACCAAACACUAUAUUAGCUUGUAUACUAACAAAGCCGGCCAUCUUGGUAGUAGGUUUGAAAAAUUAGUUCCACUUGUGAGUCAGCAACUUACACCCCAGACUUACAACAUGAUCAUCUAUGUCCAGCUUUUAGAAUCAGAUGUCUCUGAAGAGAGUGAGAAAAAAGGAAAGAAAAAAAAUACAACACAUCAGAAAGGAAUAAUAAAAGCCAUGAAACAAGGGAAAAUGGUACCCAGUCUCAUUUGCACUAUAGAGCUACUGGAAAAAUUCUUAAUUCAACUGAGCAAAAAGUCCAAGAGAAUUUUAAAAGAUCAACAUCUCGAGAUUUUCGCAUCAAUACAGAAACUGUGCAUACAGCAGUUGAGCAGGGAAUUUCUGAUGACAGUGAAACUGAGGAAAAUAAUUCUAAAGAGCCAGAAGAAAAUGAAGUUCAGGAGUCAAAUGAGGAUGAUGAUGAUGAUGAAGAAAACAAGAGACCAGUUGAAGAAGAGAAAAGUGAACAUCAACCACCACAGAAAAAGAAAAAGACAACCAGAAACAUUUAGCUAUAGCUCAUUUUUUUUUUUACUCUCUUCUGACUUUAUUGUUGGGUCUGUUCCAUCACAUCCAGUCAAUAAAGGAAUAAUAUCUAUGAUGUCAGACAACAAUAAAGACCCAUUUCUGUAGAAGAAGAUCUCACUACCAUGAACACUCUAGGGCUAGGGGACAUGAUGCCAGUAAAAUGAGAAAAUAGAGUGGAAGAGAGUCCAAAGUUUGUUUUGCUCCCUAUUCAAUAGAGAACAAAGUUAAGAUUAGCGAUGGAGAUAAAAGGAAUCUCUAAAACAAUAAUUCUUAUCAAAAUCCAACAAUCUCUAUUCAAAAUAUUAAUCUAAGAAGUAACAUGACAACUAUUUGAACCAAAGAGUGAAGGUCACGUGAGGACAGUUUUCAACAUUAGAGUUACAGUACUAGUCCUCGGUGGAAUCAAGGAGUCAUUAAAGAAUCAUUCUGGAAGAUCAAAUCAAUACAAGCACUGAACAGCAGAUAAUGAUGCAGAGAAUUUCCUGGUGAUCAAGAAUUAGGAGCUGCACACAGUUUAAUGAAACCAUAUUUUAGGAACAGAUAGAAAACAAAGAACUGCAGCAAAGAUGGCCUGUUUUUAUUCUUCUUCAUG